GACGAACGCUGGCGGCGUGCCUAAUACAUGCAAGUUGAGCGAUGAAGAUUGGUGCUUGCACCAAUUUGAAGAGCAGCGAACGGGUGAGUAACGCGUGGGGAAUCUGCCUUUGAGCGGGGGACAACAUUUGGAAACGAAUGCUAAUACCGCAUAACAACUUUAAACAUAAGUUUUAAGUUUGAAAGAUGCAAUUGCAUCACUCAAAGAUGAUCCCGCGUUGUAUUAGCUAGUUGGUGAGGUAAAGGCUCACCAAGGCGAUGAUACAUAGCCGACCUGAGAGGGUGAUCGGCCACAUUGGGACUGAGACACGGCCCAAACUCCUACGGGAGGCAGCAGUAGGGAAUCUUCGGCAAUGGACGAAAGUCUGACCGAGCAACGCCGCGUGAGUGAAGAAGGUUUUCGGAUCGUAAAACUCUGUUGGUAGAGAAGAACGUUGGUGAGAGUGGAAAGCGCAUCAAGUGACGGUAACUACCCAGAAAGGGACGGCUAACUACGU
rnacentral:rRNA from 1 species